rnacentral:rRNA from 1 species
CCUACGGGCGGCAGCAGUGGGGAAUAUUGCACAAUGGGGGAAACCCUGAUGCAGCGACGCCGCGUGAGUGAAGGAGUAUUUCGGUAUGUAAAGCUCUAUCAGCAGGGAAGAAAAUGACGGUACCUGAUUAAGAAGCCCCGGCUAACUACGUGCCAGCAGCCGCGUUAAUACGUAGGGGGCAAGCGUUAUCCGGAUUUACGGGGUGUAAAGGGAGCGUAGACGGCAGCACAGGUCUGGGGGGAAAUGCCGGGGCUAAAGGCCGGAACUGCUUUUGAAACUGGCCAGCUAGAGUGCAGGAGAGGUGAGUGGAAUGCCUGGUGUAGCGGUGAAAUGCGUAGAUAUCAGGCGGAACACCAGUGGCGAAGGCGUCUUACUGAACUGUAAUUGACGUUGGUGCUCGAAAGCGUGGGGAGCAAACAGGAUUAGAUACCCUAGUAGUC